AGAGUUUGAUCCUGGCUCAGAACGAACGCUGGCGGCAGGCCUAACACAUGCAAGUCGAACGAAGUCCUCGGACUUAGUGGCGCACGGGUGAGUAACGCGUGGGAACCUACCCUGAGGUGUGGAAUAACUGUUGGAAACGACAGCUAGUACCGUAUAUUCCCCAAGUCCUUGGUGGAUUUGGGGGAAAGAUUUAUCGCCUUGGGAUGGGCCCGCGUUGGAUUAGUUAGUUGGUGAGGUAAUGGCUCACCAAGACAGUGAUCCAUAGCUGGUCUGAGAGGAUGAUCAGCCACACUGGGACUGAGAUAUGGCCCAGACUCCUACGGGAGGCAGCAGUGGGGAAUAUUGGACAAUGGGCGAAAGCCUGAUCCAGCCAUGCCGCGUGAGUGAAGAAGGCCUUAGGGUUGUAAAGCUCUUUCAACGGUGAAGAUGAUGAUGGUAGCCGUAGAAGAAGCCCCGGCUAACUCCGUGCCAGUAGUUGUGGUAAUACGGAGGGGGCGAGCGUUGUUCGGAAUUACUGGGCGUAAAGGGCGCGUAGGCGGUCAGUUGCGUUAGAUGUGAAAGUCCCGGGUUUAAUCUGGGAUGUGCAUUUAAUACGGGCUGACUAGAAUGCGGCAGAGGAUGGUGGAAUUCCCAGUGUAGAGGUGAAAUUUGUAGAUAUUGGGAAGAACACCGAUGGCGAAGGUAGCCAUCUGGGCCGUUAUUGACGCUGAGGCGCGAAAGCGUGGGGAGCGAACAGGAUUAGAUAUCCUGGUAGUCCACGCCGUAAACGAUGUGUGCUUGCCGUCGGACAGCUUGCUGUUCGGUGGCGUAAGCUAAUGUCUUAAGCACACCGCCUGGGGAGUACGGUCGCAAGAUUAAAACUCAAAGGAAUUGACGGGGGCCCGCACAAGCGGUGGAGCAUGUGGUUUAAUUUGAAGCAAUGUGCAGAACCUUACCAGCCCUUGACAUGGGACGUUCGGUAUUUGGAGACAGAUACCUUCAGUUCGGCUGGCGUCCACACAGGUGCUGCAUGGCUGUCGUCAGCUCGUGUUGUGAGAUGUUGGGUUAAGUCCCGCAACGAGCGCAACCCCUACCUUUAGUUGCCAGCGGUUUCGGCCGGGCACUCUAGAGGGACUGCCGGUGAUAAGCCGGAGGAAGGCGGGGAUGACGUCAAGUCCUCAUGGCCCUUAUGGGCUGGGCUACACACGUGCUACAAUGGCGGUGACAGUGGGCAGCGAAGGGGUGACCUGGAGCUAAUCCCCAAAAACCGUCUCAGUUCGGAUUGCACUCUGCAAUUUGAGUGCAUGAAGUUGGAAUCGCUAGUAAUCGUGGAUUAGUAUGCCACGGUGAAUACGUUCCCGGGCCUUGUACACACCGCCCGUCACACCAUGGGAGUUGGUUCUACCCGAAGUUGGUGCGCUAACCGCAAGGAGGCAGCCAACCACGGUAGGGUCAGCGACUGGGGUGAAGUCGAAAUAAGGUA
rnacentral:rRNA from 1 species